rnacentral:tRNA from 1 species
UUCCUGGUGGUUCACUGGUUAAGAAUCUGUGCUUUCACUGCAGGGGACCCAGGUUUGAUUCCUGGUCGGGAAG